CGGUUGCUGCCCAGUACGUCAGGUAAGUUUAUCCCUGGGGCCAAGUAUACCUCACGGGAGCUGUCCCUGCCGGGCCCGUGGGCCCGGUAUAUGGCGCCCACCUGCACAAGCAGGCCACGGAGGAUCACUCGCCGACGGCUGAUGCGGGGCCGCC
rnacentral:other from 1 species